GGGAAAACAAGGCCGCCAUCUUCUUCAUGAUUGUACUUCUCACUAACGCUUGUGGGAUUUAACUGCUGUUUCCUCUUCUGUAUGGAUGCUGGUAACUCAGCAUUAGCGUCAGGUGCUGGUACUGCUUUUGACUGUUUUGCAGCCUUCCUACAAGAUUCAAUGCCAGAUCCUUUUGUACCUUCACGGGCUUCACCUCUUUGCCUUCUUGCUUCCUCAUCUCUCAUCUUAGCAUCAAAUUCCUUGCUUGGAGGGUAUUUAGGUAAAGAUGAUGGAUCACAAGGAAGAGGCUUUGUUGUGAAGAACUCAUUUUGAAGUGCCAAAGUAGCAGAACCCCGAUACUCAGGUUCAAAAGCCAGGAGAGAAUCCAAAAGUACUAAAGCUGAUGGAGGGAAGUCCUUGAAUAUGCUGGCAAGGCAGCGCUUAUAUGGCUGUUGAGGUUUAAAGAUCGUCGCAUGUGGCAAUUUUGAUUUCUUCCAGUAUUCUUCGGAUGGUGAACCACAAAGUUUAA
rnacentral:misc_RNA from 1 species